GUGGGCGGCGGGACGCACUGCGGACCCCGGAGAGGGCGGACGAGCCGGGCGCCGGCGCCAUGGACCUGGUCAUCACGCAGGAGCUGGCCCGCGCCGAGAGCCAGCAAGAUGCUGCGUCCUUGAAGAAGGCCUACGAGUUGAUCAAAUCGGCCAACCUAGGGAAAUCGGAGUUUGACCCCUCAGAGAGCUUCAGCCCAGACCUGUUUGUUCUGUGUGCAGAGCAGGCCCUUAAGAUGGGGCAGCCAGAGGUGAGCGAGGACUGCAUCCAAAUGUACUUCAAGGUGAAGGCGCCCAUCACCCAGUUUCUGGGCCGAGCGCACCUGUGCAGGGCCCAGAUGUGUGCCCCGAAGUCGGCAGAAAACCUGGAGGAAUUUGAAAAUUGCGUGACUCAGUACAUGAAGGCCAUAAACUUUGCCAAAGGAGAACCGAGGUAUUACUUUUUGGUGUACAAUGCAUCAGUCCUCUACUGGCAGAUGGCGAGGCCGUUCCUCAAGCCUGGAUAUUGUCACCAUCUGAUCCCCAGCCUUUCCCAAAUCGUAAACGUGCUGAGUCAGACUGAGGAGGAAGACAAGGAGUGGCGCGCCGAGCUGAUGCUGGAACUUCUGGAGUGUUAUCUGCAAGCCGGAAGAAAGGAGGAGGCUGCCAGGUUCUGCUCCACCGCAGCUCCGUUCAUGAAGUCUCACGUGCCGCAGAAAUACCGGCAGAUAUUCUCCGUUAUGGUAAAUCAGCGUAUUAGAAAUAGAGACGUAAGAAGUAAUUUUCUUAAAAGUCAUUGUUCAGAAAGCUGCAUAGGAAUUACAUGAGUUUGCUGAGAGAUACAAAAAUCUAUGUGCAUACAUACAUGGACAAAAAUAUAUAAACAUAUUAAAAAGAAAUAGCAGUUCAUCCAAUGCGAAGAUGUAUAGAACUGUGACAUUUUGAAAAUAAAACAGGGUCUUUUGCCUUUAUCGUCGCUCUUUAAAUAUUUCCUUUGUAAUAGCUUUUAAUUUUUUUAAAGUUAAUAGAAAAUUCGCAAAGAUACAAGUAAUUACUACAAGAAUAUGUACCAAAAGCAUUCAUCAGCAAUUCCUUUUGACAUAUGGGGAAUCAGCUUAAGUUGUAUCUGAAAAGCUAGAUACAAAAUUUAAUUAAUGAGAAGAUAAAAUCUAGACACAAAA
rnacentral:sRNA from 1 species